UACGGAGGGUGCAAGCGUUAUCCGGAUUCACUGGGUUUAAAGGGUGCGUAGGUGGGUUGGUAAGUCAGUGGUGAAAUCUCCGAGCUUAACUUGGAAACUGCCAUUGAUACUAUCAGUCUUGAAUACCGUGGAGGUCAGCGGAAUAUGUCAUGUAGCGGUGAAAUGCUUAGAUAUGACAUAGAACACCAAUUGCGAAGGCAGCUGGCUACACGAGUAUUGACACUGAGGCACGAAAGCGUGGGGAGCAAACAGG
rnacentral:rRNA from 1 species